rnacentral:rRNA from 1 species
UGCCAGCCGCCGCGGUAAUACGGAGGGUGCAAGCGUUAUCCGGAUUUAUUGGGUUUAAAGGGUGCGCAGGCGGAACUUUAAGUCAGUGGUGAAAUCUUGCCGCUUAACGGUAAAAUUGCCAUUGAAACUGAAGUUCUUGAAUGUAGUUGAGGUAGGCGGAAUUUAUGGUGUAGCGGUGAAAUGCAUAGAUACCAUAAAGAACACCGAUAGCGAAGGCAGCUUACUAGGCUGAGACUGACGCUGAGGCACGAAAGCGCGGGGAGCGAACAGGAUUAGAUA